UACAGAGGUCUCAAGCGUUGUUCGGAUUCAUUGGGCGUAAAGGGUGCGUAGGUGGCGCCGUAAGUCAGGUGUGAAAUUUCGGAGCUUAACUCCGAAACUGCAUUUGAUACUGCGGUGCUCGAGGACUGGAGAGGAGACUGGAAUUUACGGUGUAGCAGUGAAAUGCGUAGAGAUCGUAAGGAAGACCAGUGGCGAAGGCGGGUCUCUGGACAGUUCCUGACACUGAGGCACGAAGGCCAGGGGAGCGAACGGG
rnacentral:rRNA from 1 species